UAACGGCGAGUGAAGCGGCAAAAGCUCAGAUUUGAAAUCUGGUAUCAUUUUGGUGCCCGAGUUGUAAUCUGUAGAGGAGUAUUCGAGUGUAGCUUUGGCUUAAGUUCCUUGGAACAGGGCGUCAUAGAGGGUGAGAACCCCGUUAACGGCCUCAGUCUUAUGCUCAUGUGAAUCUUCUUCAACGAGUCGAAUUGUUUGGGAAUGCAGUUCUAAAUGGGUGGUAAAUUCCAUCUAAAGCUAAAUACUGGCAAGAGACCGAUAGCGCACAAGUAGAGUGAUCGAAAGAUGAAAAGAACUCUGAACAGAGAGUUAAACAGUACGUGAAAUUGUUGAAAGGGAAGCACUUGCUACCAGACGCACUUGCAGUCGAUCAACCUCCAUUUUUUGGUGGUGCACUCGGUUGUAGGUGGGCCAGCAUCAGUUAUUAGCGGUGGGAUAAAGACUUUGGGAAUGUGGCUUCCCUCGGGGAGUGUUAUAGCCCUUGGUGUAAUACCAUCUGUUGUGACUGAGGACCGCGCUUUUGUGAGGAUGCUGGCAUAAUGGUCGUAAGUGACCCGUCUUGAAACACGGACCAAGGAGUCUAACAUCUAUGCGAGUGUUUGGGUGUUAAAACCCUUACGCGAAAUGAAAGUGAAUGGAGGUGGGAACCGCAAGGUGCACCAUCGACCGAUCCGGAUGUCUUCGGAAGGAUUUGAGUAGGAGCAUAGCUGUUGGGACCCGAAAGAUGGUGAACUAUGCCUGAAUAGGGUGAAGCCAGAGGAAACUCUGGUGGAGGCUCGCAGCGGUUCUGACGUGCAAAUCGAUCGUCAAAUUU
rnacentral:rRNA from 2 species